rnacentral:rRNA from 1 species
GACGAACGCUGGCGGCGCGCUUAACACAUGCAAGUCGAACGGAAAGGCCUGCUUUCCCUUGUGGAUUGCGGGUACUCGAGUGGCGAACGGGUGAGUAACACGUGAGUGAUCUGCCCCCAACUUGGGUAUAAGCCUGGGAAACUGGGUCUAAUUCCCGAUAGGACUGCAGGGUGGUGCCUGUGGUGGAAAACGAUUUUCUAGUGGUUGGGGAUGAGCUCGCGGCCUAUCAGCUUGUUGGUGGGGUAAUGGCCUACCAAGGCGGCGACGGGUAGCCGGCCUGAGAGGGUGGACGGCCACAUUGGGACUGAGAUACGGCCCAGACUCCUACGGGAGGCUGCAGUGGGGAAUAUUGCACAAUGGGCGGAAGCCUGAUGCAGCGACGCCGCGUGGGGGAUGACGGCCUUCGGGUUGUAAACUCCUUUCGACCGCGAGGAAGCCACCUGGUUGGAAGGGUGGUGACGGUAGUGGUAGAAGAAGCACCGGCUAACUACGUG